GCUCCACACCUAUUAAGCCCACUCAUCCUAAAGCGCAUGCUCCACAACCAGAGAAGCCGCCACAAUGAGCAGCCCGAGCACCACAGUGAGGAGUAGCUGCCACUUGCCACAGCUAGAGAGAAGCCCAAGGAAAGCAGUGAAGACCCAACGCAGCUAAAAAUAGAUAAAACAUUGACGAUGCAGGGAAAUUUUCUAAUUUUUCAUGAAGUACUACGCUGAUCAUUGUGAAACAAUCCCAGGGCUGUCUUCACAAUGAAGGCCUACUAUUGCUAAGUCGCUUCAGUCGUGUCCGACUCUGUGCGACCCCAUAGACGGCAGCCCACCAGGCUCCCCCGUCCCUGGGAUUCUCCAGGCAAGAACACUGGAGUGGGUUGCCAUUUCCUUCUCCAAUGCAUGAAAGUGAAAAGUGAAAGUGAAGUCGCUCAGUCGUGUCUGACUCUUCAUGACCCCAUGGACUGCAGCCCACCAGGCUCCUCCACCCAUGGGAUUUUCCAGGCAAGAGUACUGCAGUGGGGUGCCAUUGCCUUCUCCAAGGCCUACUAUUAGAAAAGACUCUCAGAGUAUGGAUUUUGCAGACUGAAUCCUCAUGGAGUAUUCAACAUAUCAUCUGGCUGCUGGAUUACCUGUAAACUCAAUGCUGGAUCCAGAUGCUAGAUCGGAUGUAGGUUCCUGCUUUUGAAUGACUCUAGGAAGUGGUGCAUUCUUUCGACAGAAGACACAUAUUCAGCUUUCUCUGUUUUGGAGAUGUUAACAGCCACUGAUGCUCACUGCCAAGAUGUGAAGGAGUUGCACAGGGGUGGUAUUCUUUGUUUUAGCUGAACAUUAAAAUAUUCUAAAAUCAAUUUUAUGGAGGUAUAAUUUACACACAAUAAAUA
ensembl:lncRNA